rnacentral:rRNA from 1 species
GACGAACGCUGGCGGCGUGCUUAACACAUGCAAGUCGAACGGAAAGGCCCUGCUUGCAGGGUGCUCGAGUGGCGAACGGGUGAGUAACACGUGGGUGAUCUGCCCCUUACUUUGGGAUAAGCCUGGGAAACUGGGUCUAAUACUGGAUAGGACCAUGCUGUAGGUGGUGUGGUGGAAAGAUUAGUUUCGGUAAGGGAUGAGCUCGCGGCCUAUCAGCUUGUUGGUGGGGUAAUGGCCUACCAAGGCGUCGACGGGUAGCCGGCCUGAGAGGGUGGACGGCCCCAUUGGGACUGCGAUACGGCCCAGCCUCCUACGGGAGGCAGCAGUGGGGAAUAUUGCACAAUGGGCGCAAGCCUGAUGCAGCGACGCCGCGUGGGGGAUGACGGCCUUCGGGUUGUAAACUCCUUUCAGCCAUGACGAAGCCCUUGUGGUGACGGUAGUGGCAGAAGAAGCACCGGCUAACUACGUG